GCUCAGGAUGAACGCUGGCGGCGUGCCUAAUACAUGCAAGUCGAGCGAACAGAUAAGGAGCUUGCUCCUUUGACGUUAGCGGCGGACGGGUGAGUAACACGUGGGUAACCUACCUAUAAGACUGGAAUAACUCCGGGAAACCGGGGCUAAUGCCGGAUAACAUGUUGAACCGCAUGGUUCUACAGUGAAAGGCGGCUUUGCUGUCACUUAUAGAUGGACCCGCGCCGUAUUAGCUAGUUGGUGAGGUAACGGCUCACCAAGGCAACGAUACGUAGCCGACCUGAGAGGGUGAUCGGCCACACUGGAACUGAGACACGGUCCAGACUCCUACGGGAGGCAGCAGUAGGGAAUCUUCCGCAAUGGGCGAAAGCCUGACGGAGCAACGCCGCGUGAGUGAUGAAGGUCUUCGGAUCGUAAAACUCUGUUAUUAGGGAAGAACAAAUGCGUAAGUAACUGUGCGCGUCUUGACGGUACCUAAUCAGAAAGCCACGGCUAACUACGUGCCAGCA
rnacentral:rRNA from 1 species